rnacentral:tRNA from 1 species
GCGCCCGUGGCGCAAUGGAUAGCGUACUUGGUUCCGAUCCAAGGGGUUGCAGGUUCGAUCCCUGCCGGGCGCGCCA